UGAUAAAUGCUUUCUAAAUCAACUUCUUUC
rnacentral:piRNA from 1 species